rnacentral:rRNA from 1 species
AGGAUUAGAUACCCUGGUAGUCCACGCCCUAAACGAUGUAUGCUAGUUGUUGGGGUGCUAGUCAUCUCAGUAAUGCAGCUAACGCAUUAAGCAUACCGCCUGGGGAGUACGGUCGCAAGAUUAAAACUCAAAGGAAUAGACGGGGACCCGCACAAGCGGUGGAGCAUGUGGUUUAAUUCGAAGAUACGCGAAGAACCUUACCUAGGCUUGAUAUCCAACAAAUUCUGUAGAGAUACGGAAGUGCUAGCUUGCUAGAAUGUUGAGACAGGUGCUGCACGGCUGUCGUCAGCUCGUGUCGUGAGAUGUUGGGUUAAGUCCCGCAACGAGCGCAACCCUCGUCCUUAGUUGCUAACGAUUCGGUCGAGCACUCUAAGGAGACUGCCUUCGUAAGGAGGAGGAAGGUGGGGACGACGUCAAGUCAUCAUGGCCCUUACGCCUAGGGCGACACACGUGCUACAAUGGCAUAUACAAUGAGACGCAAUACCGCGAGGUGGAGCAAAUCUAUAAAAUAUGUCCCAGUUCGGAUUGUUCUCUGCAACUCGAGAGCAUGAAGCCGGAAUCGCUAGUAAUCGCAAAUCAGCCAUGUUGCGGUGAAUACGUUCCCGGGUCUUGUACUCACCGCCCGUCACACCAUGGGAGUUGAUUUCACUCGAAGUGGAAAUACUAAACUAGUUAUCCCCCACAGUGGAAUCAGCGACUGGGGUGAAGUCGUAACAAGGUAACCGUAGGAGAACCUGCGGUUGGAUCACCUCCUUU